rnacentral:tRNA from 1 species
GGAGGUGUAGCCAAGCGGUAAGGCAGAGGUCUGCAAAACCUCCAUGCGCCGGUUCAAAUCCGGCCACCUCCU